AUGACGCGGCUAGCUAAGAUGGAUUUAAUCCCGAGUUUCAUUUUAGCCAAAGGCUCUAAGUGCCAUGCGUGUGUGCAAGCUAAGCAACCUCGUAAGCCUCACAAGCGUGCGAAGGAGAGACACCUGGCACCUUUAGAGCUCAUACAUUCAGAUCUCUGUGAGAUGAAUGGUGUGUUGACUAAAGGUGGAAAGAAAUACUUCAUGACUCUGAUUGAUGAUUCCACUAGAUUCUGCUAUGUGUAUUUGUUAAAUACUAAGGAUGAGGCUCUACACUACUUUAAAGUCUAUAAGGCUGAAGUUGAGAACCAACUUGAGAAGAAAAUAAAACGAGUCCGGUCUGAUCGUGGUGGAGAUACUCCCUAUGAGCAAUAG
rnacentral:rRNA from 1 species